GGAUAACAUUUUUUGCUAUUUUCGGCUAAUAAUGCAAUGACAUGUAAAAUAACUUUUUCACAUGUUAUUGUGUUAUUAGCUGAGGAUAGCAAAAUAGUGCUAUCC
rfam:Prunus persica cultivar Lovell chromosome G8, whole genome shotgun sequence.